AUUGAACGCUGGCGGCAGGCUUAACACAUGCAAGUCGAACGAUGACUCUCUAGCUUGCUAGAGAAGAUUAGUGGCGGACGGGUGAGUAACAUUUAGGAAUCUGCCUAGUAGUGGGGGAUAGCUCGGGGAAACUCGAAUUAAUACCGCAUACGACCUACGGGUGAAAGGGGGCGCAAGCUCUUGCUAUUAGAUGAGCCUAAAUCAGAUUAGCUAGUUGGUGGGGUAAAGGCCCACCAAGGCGACGAUCUGUAACUGGUCUGAGAGGAUGAUCAGUCACACCGGAACUGAGACACGGUCCGGACUCCUACGGGAGGCAGCAGUGGGGAAUAUUGGACAAUGGGGGCAACCCUGAUCCAGCCAUGCCGCGUGUGUGAAGAAGGCCUUUUGGUUGUAAAGCACUUUAAGCAGGGAGGAGAGGCUAAUGGUUAAUACCCAUUAGAUUAGACGUUACCUGCAGAGUAAGCACCGGCUAACUCUGUGCCAGCAGCCGCGGUAAUACAGAGGGUGCGAGCGUUAAUCGGAAUUACUGGGCGUAAAGCGAGUGUAGGUGGCUCAUUAAGUCACAUGUGAAAUCCCCGGGCUUAACCUGGGAACUGCAUGUGAUACUGGUGGUGCUAGAAUAUGUGAGAGGGAAGUAGAAUUCCAGGUGUAGCGGUGAAAUGCGUAGAGAUCUGGAGGAAUACCGAUGGCGAAGGCAGCUUCCUGGCAUAAUAUUGACACUGAGAUUCGAAAGCGUGGGUAGCAAACAGGAUUAGAUACCCUGGUAGUCCACGCCGUAAACGAUGUCUACUAGCCGUUGGGGUCCUUGAGACUUUAGUGGCGCAGUUAACGCGAUAAGUAGACCGCCUGGGGAGUACGGCCGCAAGGUUAAAACUCAAAUGAAUUGACGGGGGCCCGCACAAGCGGUGGAGCAUGUGGUUUAAUUCGAUGCAACGCGAAGAACCUUACCUGGUCUUGACAUAGUGAGAAUCCCGCAGAGAUGCGGGAGUGCCUUCGGGAAUUCACAUACAGGUGCUGCAUGGCUGUCGUCAGCUCGUGUCGUGAGAUGUUGGGUUAAGUCCCGCAACGAGCGCAACCCUUUUCCUUAUUUGCCAGCGGGUUAAGCCGGGAACUUUAAGGAUACUGCCAGUGACAAACUGGAGGAAGGCGGGGACGACGUCAAGUCAUCAUGGCCCUUACGACCAGGGCUACACACGUGCUACAAUGGUAGGUACAGAGGGUUGCUACACAGCGAUGUGAUGCUAAUCUCAAAAAGCCUAUCGUAGUCCGGAUUGGAGUCUGCAACUCGACUCCAUGAAGUCGGAAUCGCUAGUAAUCGCAGAUCAGAAUGCUGCGGUGAAUACGUUCCCGGGCCU
rnacentral:rRNA from 1 species